GGUAAAGGCCUACCAAGGCGACGAUCUGUAGCGGGUCUGAGAGGAUGAUCCGCCACACUGGGACUGAGACACGGCCCAGACUCCUACGGGAGGCAGCAGUGGGGAAUAUUGGACAAUGGGCGCAAGCCUGAUCCAGCCAUGCCGCGUGUGUGAAGAAGGCCUUAUGGUUGUAAAGCACUUUAAGCGAGGAGGAGGCUACUGAAGUUAAUACCUUCAGAUAGUGGACGUUACUCGCAGAAUAAGCACCGGCUAACUCUGUGCCAGCAGCCGCGGUAAUACAGAGGGUGCAAGCGUUAAUCGGAUUUACUGGGCGUAAAGCGCGCGUAGGCGGCUAAUUAAGUCAAAUGUGAAAUCCCCGAGCUUAACUUGGGAAUUGCAUUCGAUACUGGUUAGCUAGAGUGUGGGAGAGGAUGGUAGAAUUCCAGGUGUAGCGGUGAAAUGCGUAGAGAUCUGGAGGAAUACCGAUGGCGAAGGCAGCCAUCUGGCCUAACACUGACGCUGAGGUGCGAAAGCAUGGGGAGCAAACAGGAUUAGAUACCCUGGUAGUCCAUGCCGUAAACGAUGUCUACUAGCCGUUGGGGCCUUUGAGGCUUUAGUGGCGCAGCUAACGCGAUAAGUAGACCGCCUGGGGAGUACGGUCGCAAGACUAAAACUCAAAUGAAUUGACGGGGGCCCGCACAAGCGGUGGAGCAUGUGGU
rnacentral:rRNA from 1 species